rnacentral:rRNA from 1 species
CCUACGGGGGGCUGCAGUGGGGAAUAUUGGACAAUGGGGGGAACCCUGAUCCAGCCAUGCCGCGUGUGUGAAGAAGGCCCUCGGGUUGUAAAGCACUUUCAGUGAGGAAGAACGCCUGGUGGUUAAUACCCAUCAGGAAAGACAUCACUCACAGAAGAAGCACCGGCUAACUCCGUGCCAGCAGCCGCGGUAAUACGGAGGGUGCGAGCGUUAAUCGGAAUUACUGGGCGUAAAGCGCGCGUAGGUGGCUUAAUAAGCCGGUUGUGAAAGCCCCGGGCUCAACCUGGGAACGGCAUCCGGAACUGUCAAGCUAGAGUGCAGGAGAGGAAGGUAGAAUUCCCGGUGUAGCGGUGAAAUGCGUAGAGAUCGGGAGGAAUACCAGUGGCGAAGGCGGCCUUCUGGACUGACACUGACACUGAGGUGCGAAAGCGUGGGUAGCAAACAGGAUUAGAUACCCGUGUAGUC